rnacentral:lncRNA from 1 species
UAAAAGCAUCUACUUCCAUAAACGUUUAAAACUACAUGCUACCACAAAUUAAGUUCCAUCAUAACAAGCAAAGUAAACCAUUCAUUUCUUAACAUAGAACAUCACAUACGAUCAGUUACCUUUAUCAGGCGACUUCAAGUAGAGCGUCUCGCCACCGUCUCCACCGCCAGAGCUACCACCACCCCGCCCCUCACCGGUGGGACCAAUAUCUUGCUUACGACCAAAGUCGGGGAACCCACCACUUAGGUGGGUCCCACUGACACCCGCGCUAUUAUUGUCGGUCUGCAGCAUGUGAAGUCCACUGGUUCCAGUUCCAGAACUCAUGCCCAGAUGGCUAUGCAUUGCUUGCUGCUGUAGUGAAGAGUACUGCUGCUGACUGUACAUCAUGGAUGAGCGUGCAGCCAUGAGUGCUUGUGGUGACAUCUGUUGUGCCUGUUGGUGCUGCUGCAUGUAGUGACUCCCAGCCUGCUGCUGCAUCAUCCCACCUUGAGGAUACUGAGUCAUGAUAGUACAGUUGUUACUGGUGCUUGAGGUUGAGAAUCAGCAAUUGCAGCAAGGUACAUAA